AGUGAACGCUGGCGGUAGGCCUAACACAUGCAAGUCGAACGGCAGCACAGUAAGAGCUUGCUCUUACGGGUGGCGAGUGGCGGACGGGUGAGGAAUACAUCGGAAUCUACUUUUUCGUGGGGGAUAACGUAGGGAAACUUACGCUAAUACCGCAUACGACCUACGGGUGAAAGCAGGGGAUCUUCGGACCUUGCGCGAUUGAAUGAGCCGAUGUCGGAUUAGCUAGUUGGCGGGGUAAAGGCCCACCAAGGCGACGAUCCGUAGCUGGUCUGAGAGGAUGAUCAGCCACACUGGAACUGAGACACGGUCCAGACUCCCACGGAAGGCAGCAGUGGGGAAUAUUGGACAAUGGGCGCAAGCCUGAUCCAGCCAUACCGCGUGGGUGAAGAAGGCCUUCGGGUUGUAAAGCCCUUUUGUUGGGAAAGAAAAGCAGCAGGUUAAUACCCCGCUGUUCUGACGGUACCCAAAGAAUAAGCACCGGCUAACUUCGUG
rnacentral:rRNA from 1 species